rnacentral:tRNA from 1 species
UAGCUCAACGGCAGAGCAACGGUCCCCAAAACCGUUGAUCGAGGUUCGACUCCUCGG